rnacentral:rRNA from 1 species
CUUCGGGCCUUGCACUAUUGGAUGAGCCUAUGUCGGAUUAGUUAGUUGGUGGGGUAAAGGCCUACCAAGGCAGCGAUCCGUAGCUGGUCUUAGAGGAUGAUCAGCCACAUCGGGACUGAGACACGGCCCGAACUCCUACCGGGAGGCAGCAGUGGGGAAUAUUGCACAAUGGGCGCAAGCCUGAUGCAGCUAUGCCGCGUGUGUGAAGAAGGCCUUAGGGUUGUAAAGCACUUUCAGUAGUGAGGAAAAGUGUUGUGUUAAUAGCGCAAUGCUGUGACGUUAGCUACAGAAGAAGGACCGGCAAACUCCGUG